UACUACUGUAGCAAAAGCAAGGUGCAGUGGU
rnacentral:piRNA from 1 species